rnacentral:misc_RNA from 1 species
UUUCCGUAGGUGGACCUGCGGAAGGAUCAUUAAAGUUAUAGUCCCCUGGCCCUCUGGGCUGGGGUCUUCUAUACCACCCUUUGUUUAUUACACCUUUGUUGCUUUGGCAGGCCUGCCCUCGGGCUGCUGGCUCCGGCCGGCGAGCGCCUGCCAGAGGACCUAAACUCUGUUUGUCUAUAAUGUCUGAGUACUAUAUAAUAGUUAAAACUUUCAACAACGGAUCUCUUGGUUCUG